UGAUCAGCCUGCCGCGUGUGUGAAGAAGGCCUUUUGGUUGUAAAGCACUUUAAGCGAGGAGGAGGCUACUGAGAUUAAUACUCUUGGAUAGUGGACGUUACUCGCAGAAUAAGCACCGGCUAACUCUGUGCCAGCAGCCGCGGUAAUACAGAGGGUGCGAGCGUUAAUCGGAUUUACUGGGCGUAAAGCGUGCGUAGGCGGCUUUUUAAGUCGGAUGUGAAAUCCCUGAGCUUAACUUAGGAAUUGCAUUCGAUACUGGGAAGCUAGAGUAUGGGAGAGGAUGGUAGAAUUCCAGGUGUAGCGGUGAAAUGCGUAGAGAUCUGGAGGAAUACCGAUGGCGAAGGCAGCCAUCUGGCCUAAUACUGACGCUGAGGUACGAAAGCAUGGGGAGCAAACAGGAUUAGAUACCCUGGUAGUCCAUGCCGUAAACGAUGUCUACUAGCCGUUGGGGCCUUUGAGGCUUUAGUGGCGCAGCUAACGCGAUAAGUAGACCGCCUGGGGAGUACGGUCGCAAGACUAAAACUCAAAUGAAUUGACGGGGGCCCGCACAAGCGGUGGAGCAUGUGGUUUAAUUCGAUGCACGCGAAGAACCUUACCUGGUCUUGACAUAGUAAGAACUUUCCAGAGAUGGAUUGGUGCCUUCGGGAACUUACAUACAGGUGCUGCAUGGCUGUCGUCAGCUCGUGUCGUGAGAUGUUGGGUUAAGUCCCGCAACGAGCGCACCCUUUUCCUUAUUUGCCAUCGGGUUAAGCCGGGAACUUUAAGGAUACUGCCGUGACAAACUGGAGGAGGCGGGGACGACACAAGUCAUCGUGGCCCUACGACAGGGCUCACCGUGCUACAUGGUCGGACAAGGGUGCUCCUAGCGUAGGAGCUAUCUCAAAAGCGAUCGACUCGGAUGAUCUGCACUCGCUCUGAGCGGAUCCUAGUAUCGGGAC
rnacentral:rRNA from 1 species